rnacentral:rRNA from 1 species
UGGGGAAUUUUGGACAAUGGGCGCAAGCCUGAUCCAGCAAUGCCGCGUGCAGGAUGAAGGCCUUCAGGUUGUAAACUGCUUUUGUACGGAGCGAAAAGGUCUGCCCUAAUACGGUGGGCUCAUGACGGUACCGUAAGAAUAAGCACCGGCUAACUACGUGCCAGCAGCCGCGGUAAUACGUAGGGUGCGAGCGUUAAUCGGAAUUACUGGGCGUAAAGCGUGCGCAGGCGGUUAUAUAAGACAGGUGUGAAAUCCCCGGGCUCAACCUGGGACCUGCAUUUGUGACUGUAUAGCUAGAGUACGGUAGAGGGGGAUGGAAUUCCGCGUGUAGCAGUGAAAUGCGUAGAUAUGCGGAGGAACACCGAUGGCGAAGGCAAUCCCCUGGACCUGUACUGACGCUCAUGCACGAAAGCGUGGGGAGCAAACA